rnacentral:tRNA from 1 species
UCUCUGGUGGCUCAGAUGGCAAAGAAUCUGCCUGCAAUGCAGGAGAUCCAGGUUCAAUCCCUGGGUUGGGAA